rnacentral:rRNA from 1 species
GACGAACGCUGGCGGCGUGCCUAAUACAUGCAAGUCGAACGCAGUGGGGACGGGUGAGUAACACGUUGGUAACCUCCCAUCAGAGGGGAUAACACUUGGAAAAAUGUGAUAAACCGAUACUGAUGGAAGGACCCGCGGUGCAUUAGCUAGUUGGUGAGGUAACGGCUCACCAAGGCCACGAUGCAUAGCGGACCUGAGAGGUUGAUCGGCCACACGGGGACUGAGACACGGCCCAGACUCCUACGGGAGGAAGAAGUGGGGAAUAUUCGACAAUGGACGAAAGUCUGACCGAGAAACGCGGAGUGAAUGAAGAAGGUUUUCGGAUCGUAAAACUCUGUUAUUAGGGAGGCGGUAUCUAACCAGAAAGCCACGGCUAACUACGUGCCAGCAGCCGCGGUAAUAC